CGCCGCCCCCAGCUUAGAGCCAGGAGCCCUUUCACACGCAGUGACUCUGCCUACUUGGCUCUUUCUGGACCUUGGACUCCUCCCUCAAGACCCCACUCAACUCACAGUCCCUGAAUUCAUCCCAGCCCCACGGUGCCCGCUCCAUCCUGUUCCCAACUCGCUGCGUAUGUGCCUGGCAGAACCGCCACCCACUACGGUGAGGCACAGUCUCCUUCGCAUCCACCUGAACGGCUCGAAGAGGAAGGACCGUGUUUUACUCCGUUUUCUCAACAACUCUGUGACCUGACGCACCUCUCAGUACAGUACAUGUCUGCUCCACGAAGUUUGGGGUUUUCCGGUUCUACCACCCAGUGGGGUUUCAAAGGUAUGAGAGACGCUUACAAAGUCCAAGCAUCUGAAUGUGAAAGGUGGUUUCUGGUUUAAAAAAAAAAAAAAAGAAAGUCGGACGUUCCUGUUGUGGCUCAGCAAUAACAAGCCUGACUAGGAUCCAUGAAGAUGUGGGUUGGAUCCCUGGCCUCGUUCAGGGGGUUAAGGAUCUGGCAUUGCCAGGAGCUGUGGUGUAGGUCACAGACACGGCUCGGAUCUGGCGUGGCUGUGACUGUGGUGUAGGCCAGUAGCUGCAGCUCCAACUGGACCCCUAGCCUGGGAACCUCCAUGUGCCACGGGUGCAGCCAUAAAAAGAAAACAAAAAAAGUCUCUUUCUCAUUUCAAAACAGUGCGAUAGGGAAGCGUCAAGUAGGGCAGGAGAGCACCGCCUGGUUGCAUCUCUUCGUCCUUCACCCUCCUCGGGAAUUAUCUUCAUCGAGGUCACGCAGGCAGCGAAUCCAAGCCAGAGCUUCCCAAGAACUCGGGGAAGGAGAGAGGGACCCACGACCCGGACGUGACUCUCAAGUGAAUCCCUGGGAGUGGCUGCUGCGGUUUCUUUGGAAGAACUGUUGGGCCAUCCGGUAUGAAGCGCUGAGGUCCUGCAGCUUGCUCACAGGGAAGGUGCCACGUCAUCUGGACAACUUCUGCUGUUUGCAGGAAACACUGCCAUGUUCACUGUCUCCAAGGAAACCAAACAGAUGUGGAUCGUUGCCCCGGAACUCAUUUCGGGUCCUGCAUCCAAGCCCAGGACCAGUCUCGGAGCGUCACACUACAGACUGUGAUAAACACUCGCUUAAUUAGCUUGAGUUAGUAAGCAGCUGACGUAUUCCCGGACAGUUUAACCCAUUAGGAUAAAGUUCUGUUACUCAUCUAAUUUCCUGGUUGCUGAUUUAGAAGUAGCCUUUGGCAGCUCGUACACUGUGAUCUGAUGUUUUACAAGUAAACGUGGCUAAAUCAAUCCAAGUCCAUCGCUGCCAUGGGCAUGAGGCAGAAAUAGUCUUCCGAUGCUGUGAGCCAGUCGGGCCAUACAACACUGAAAAAUGCACAGAGUGCAGCUACGUUCACGGCCCAGACGUCACAGAGAGGGGCUGGCAUUAGGAGAGCAGCCCUUCCCGCUGUUGUGCUGGAGCUGCAAUGUCAGCAGGACAGAAGACACGUGCUCGGUGAGCUGUGUGGCUGCUGCCUUUCACGCUGGUUCCGGGUGAGAUGCUGCCUGUGCUCCAUCAUCAAAACUGACUUGCGUCACAUGGGUUGGAUAUGGGUUGCAAUGUGCCUUUUGAGUGUGUUUUUUACCAAUAUAUUAUUUCCAACAUUUGAAAGGACUAUUUUCAAAAAUAAAAUACUACGAAAGAAAAUAUCUGCCUGUAAC
rnacentral:lncRNA from 1 species